GACGAACGCUGGCGGCGUGCUUAACACAUGCAAGUCGAACGAUGAAGCGGGUGCUUGCACUCGUGGAUUAGUGGCGAACGGGCGAGUAACACGUGAGUAACCUGUCCUUUUCUUUGGGAUAACGGCUGGAAACGGCUGCUAAUACUGGAUAUUCAGGCUGCAUCGCAUGGUGUGGUUUGGAAAGGUUUUUUCUGGGAUUGGGUGGGCUCGCGGCCUAUCAGCUUGUUGGUGGGGUGAUGGCUUACCAAGGCUUUGACGGGUAGCCGGCCUGAGAGGGUGGUCGGUCGCACUGGGACUGAGAUACGGCCCAGACUACUACGGGAGGCAGCAGUGGGGAAUAUUGCACAAUGGACGAAAGUGUGAUGCAGCGACGCCGCGUGGAGGGUGUAGGCCUUCGGGUUGUGAACUCCUUUAUCUCGCGAAAAAGGCACAGUUUUGGCUGUGUUGAUGGUAGUGGGGGAAGAAGCGCCGGCUAACUACGUG
rnacentral:rRNA from 1 species